AUUGAACGCUGGCGGCAGGCUUAACACAUGCAAGUCGAACGAGUGGCGGACGGGUGAGUAAUGCUUGGGAAUCUAGCUUAUGGUGGGGGAUAACUACGGGAAACUGUAGCUAAUACUGCGUACCAUAGGAUGAGUCCAAGUGGGAUUAGGUAGUUGGUGAGGUAAAGGCUCACAAAGCCGACGAUCUCUAGCUGGUCUGAGUGGAUGACAAGCCACACUGUGACGGAACCCCGGCCCGGACUCCAACGGGAGGCAGGAGUGGGGAAUGUUGCACAAGGGGGGCAACCUGGCGCAGCCAUGCCGCGUGAAUGAAGAAGGCCUGCGGGUUGUAAAGUUCUUUCGGUAGCGAGGCGUUAACUACAGAAGAAGCACCGGCUAACUCCGUGCCAGCAGCCGCGGUAAUUC
rnacentral:rRNA from 1 species